GACUCCGUGAAGCUGGAUUCGCUAGUAAUCGCGCAUCAGCCAUGGCGCGGUGAAUACGUUCCCGGGCCUUGUACACACCGCCCGUCAAGCCAUGGAAGCCGGGGCGCUUGAAGUGCGUUGCCGCAAGGCGCGCCCUAGAGCGAAACCGGUGACUGGGGCUAAGUCGUAACAAGGUAGC
rnacentral:rRNA from 1 species